UGCACUGUGUGGUAUCUGCAUUCCACAUUUUUUUUUCCCUGCUGGGGUGUUCAAAUGACAGUGCUAUAGAAAUUCAGUAUCUGGCAUCAUUGGUUUUCUUGGCUUUGUGCAUAUUAAACCUGGUAUUUCUGCCAAUACAAUA
rnacentral:snoRNA from 1 species